AUUGAACGCUGGCGGCAGGCCUAACACAUGCAAGUCGAGCGGAUGAAGGGAGCUUGCUCCUGGAUUCAGCGGCGGACGGGUGAGUAAUGCCUAGGAAUCUGCCUGGUAGUGGGGGAUAACGUCCGGAAACGGGCGCUAAUACCGCAUACGUCCUGAGGGAGAAAGUGGGGGAUCUUCGGACCUCACGCUAUCAGAUGAGCCUAGGUCGGAUUAGCUAGUUGGUGGGAUAAAGGCCUACCAAGGCGACGAUCCGUAACUGGUCUGAGAGGAUGAUCAGUCACACUGGAACUGAGAAACGGUCCAGACUCCUACGGGAGGCAGCAGUGGGGAAUAUUGGACAAUGGGCGAAAGCCUGAUCCAGCCAUGCCGCGUGUGUGAAGAAGGUCUUCGGAUUGUAAAGCACUUUAAGUUGGGAGGAAGGGCAGUAAGUUAAUACCUUGCUGUUUUGACGUUACCAACAGAAUAAGCACCGGCUAACUUCGUG
rnacentral:rRNA from 1 species